rnacentral:rRNA from 1 species
GACGAAUGCUGGCGGCGUGCUUAACACAUGCAAGUCGAGCGGUAAGGCCCUUUCGGGGUACACGAGCGGCGAACGGGUGAGUAACACGUGGGUGACCUGCCCUCAGCUCUGGGAUAAGCCUGGGAAACCGGGUCUAAUACUGGAUAUGACUCCAUGACGCAUGUUGUGGGGUGGAAAGCCUUGUGCGGCUGAGGAUGGGCCCGCGGCCUAUCAGCUUGUUGGUGGGGUGAUGGCCUACCAAGGCGACGACGGUAGCCGGCCUGAGAGGCGACCGGCCACACUGGGACUGAGACACGGCCCAGGACUCCUACGGGAGGCAGCAGUGGGGAAUCUUGCGCAAUGGGCGAAAGCCUGACGCAGCGACGCCGCGUGAGGGAUGACGGCCUGG